rnacentral:rRNA from 1 species
UACGGGAGGCAGCAGUGGGGAAUAUUGCACAAUGGGCGCAAGCCUGAUGCAGCCAUGCCGCGUGUAUGAAAAAGGCCUUCGGGUUGUAAAGUACUUUCAGUCGUGAGGAAGGUGUUAAGGUUAAUAACCUUAGCAAUUGACGUUAGCGACAGAAGAAGCACCGGCUAACUCCGUGCCAGCAGCCGCGGUAAUACGGAGGGUGCGAGCGUUAAUCGGAAUUACUGGGCGUAAAGGGCACGCAGGCGGUUAAUUAAGUUGGAUGUGAAAUCCCCGGGCUUAACCUGGGAAUGGCAUUCAAGACUGGUUAGCUAGAGUCUUGUAGAGGGGGUAGAAUUCCAUGUGUAGCGGUGAAAUGCGUAGAGAUGUGGAGGAAUACCGGUGGCGAAGGCGGCCCCUGGGACAAAGGCUGACGCUCAUGUGCGAAAGCGUGGGGAGCGAAAC